rnacentral:rRNA from 1 species
AUUGAACGCUGGCGGCAGGCCUAACACAUGCAAGUCGAACGAGUGGCGGACGGGUGAGUAAUGUAUGGGAAACUGCCCGAUGGAGGGGGAUAACUACUGGAAACGGUAGCUAAUACCGCAUACUAUCAGAUGUGCCCAUAUGGGCUUAGCUGGUAGGUGGGGUAACGGCUCACCAAGGCGACGAUCCCUAGCUGGUCUGAGAGGAUGACCAGCCACACUGGAACUGAGACACGGCCCAGACUCCUACGGGAGGCAGCAGUGGGGAAUAUUGCACAAUGGGCGCAAGCCUGAUGCAGCCAUGCCGCGGGUAUGAAGAAGGCCUUAGGGUUGUAAAGUACUUUCAGCGGGGAGGCGUUACCCGUAGAAGAAGCACCGGCUAACGCCGUGCCAGCCGCCGCGGUAAUAC